GAGGAAUAUUGGUCAAUGGACGCAAGUCUGAACCAGCCACGUCGCGUGAAGGAAGACGGCCCUAUGGGUUGUAAACUUCUUUUGUAAGGGAAUAAAGUGCAGUACGUGUACUGUUUUGCAUGUACCUUACGAAUAAGGAUCGGCUAACUCCGUGCCAGCAGCCGCGGUAAUACGGAGGAUCCGAGCGUUAUCCGGAUUUAUUGGGUUUAAAGGGUGCGCAGGCGGGAGAUUAAGUCGGCGGUGAAAUUUUGCAGCUUAACUGUAAAAGUGCCAUCGAUACUGGUUUCCUUGAGUGUAGAUGAAGUAGGCGGAAUUUGUGGUGUAGCGGUGAAAUGCAUAGAUAUCACGAGGAACUCCGAUUGCGCAGGCAGCUUACUAAACUACUACUGACGCUCAGGCACGAAGGCGUGGGGAUCAAAC
rnacentral:rRNA from 1 species